AGAGGGGCUCUCCAGCUGGCCCAGGCUGGCAGAUCCUUAGGCUCUCAGGAGUUCAGUGAAGAGCCACUUGAUGUAGCCGCACAGGCUGUCACGGAAGGGUCCUGGGGGCUGCGGAGUUAAUGGAGCCUGGAAGUCCACUGCAGCUGUGGUCAAGCACGGCACCAGAGUCACAGUUUUCUUGCUGGUAAUGAGCUGAGGUUGCUCCAUGGUCUAAAACAAAUCCAAGGUAUGAUGCUACUUGAUGCAAAUCAUGGCUACUGUGAGCGGCAUACACGCGAGGCGGACUCUGGGCCUGGAAUCUGCUGAAGCACCAGCUUCACUGAGUCGAUUUUGAGUUUUCCCUUUGAGAGCCACUGCUGAGAGGGCACAGGAUGUGGGCAGAACUCUUAGCACCCUUGGAUUACGGUUCCUUCCACCUAUCAGCUUUAGCAUGUGCCAGUCGAAGAGCUUGAGUUUCCGAAGUACAACACUGAGUCUUUAUGGAGUAGUGCAGCCAUGAGAUCCUGCCGGGGCUCUCCCGCAGCACCUCUGCACUUCUCAGGGAAUAUUUAUCUCUGCUGAUUGACCACUGUUGACCCAGGGUGAAGUGAUUGUUGUUCUGUCUUUGGAGAAGAGCAA
rnacentral:lncRNA from 1 species